rnacentral:rRNA from 1 species
UUUAACACCGGUUGAUCCUGCCGGAGGCUACCGCUAUUGGAAUCCGACUAAGCCAUGCGAGUCGAGAGGGUUCGGCCCUCGGCGGACGGCUCAGUAACACGUGGAGAACCUACCCUCAGGUAGGGGAUAACCCCGGGAAACUGGGAAUAAUACCCUAUAGGUCUAGAAUGCUGGAAUGCUUCUAGGCUGAAAGCUCCGGCGCCUGAGGAUGGCUCUGCGGCC